GUCGCCACUUUGGGGGCGUGCUUACACAUGCAAGUCGAACGAUGAACCAGGAGCUUGCUCUUGGGGAUUAGUGGCGAACGGGUGAGUAACACGUGAGUAACCUGCCCUUGACUCUGGGAUAACCUCCGGAAACGGAAGCUAAUACCGGAUACGAACUGCGAAGGCAUCUUCAGCAGUUGGAAAGAACUUCGGUCAAGGAUGGACUCGCGGCCUAUCAGGUAGUUGGUGAGGUAACGGCCCACCAAGCCUACGACGGGUAGCCGGCCUGAGAGGGUGACCGGCCACACUGGGACUGAGACACGGCCCAGACUCCUACGGGAGGCAGCAGUGGGGAAUAUUGCACAAUGGGCGCAAGCCUGAUGCAGCAACGCCGCGUGAGGGAUGACGGCCUUCGGGUUGUAAACCUCUUUUAGUAGGGAAGAAGCGAAAGUGACGGUACCUGCAGAAAAAGCACCGGCUAACUACGUGCCAGCAGCCGCGGUAAUACGUAGGGUGCGAGCGUUGUCCGGAAUUAUUGGGCGUAAAGAGCUCGUAGGCGGUCUGUCGCGUCUGCUGUGAAAACCCGAGGCUCAACCUCGGGCCUGCAGUGGGUACGGGCAGACUAGAGUGCGGUAGGGGAGAAUGGAAUUCCUGGUGUAGCGGUGGAAUGCGCAGAUAUCAGGAGGAACACCGAUGGCGAAGGCAGUUCUCUGGGCCGUAACUGACGCUGAGGAGCGAAAGCGUGGGGAGCGAACAGGAUUAGAUACCCUGGUAGUCCACGCCGUAAACGUUGGGCGCUAGAUGUGGGGACCAUUCCACGGUUUCCGUGUCGCAGCUUAACGCAUUAAGCGCCCCGCCUGGGGAGUACGGCCCGCAAGGCUAAAACUCAAAGGAAUUGACGGGGGGCCCGGCACAAGCGGGCGGAGCAUGCGGAUUAUUUCGAUGCAACGCGUAGAACCUUACCAAGGCUUGGACUAUACAGAACGGGCUAGAAAUAGUCAACUCCUUUUGACACUCGCAACAGGGGCGGGAUGGGUUUCGUCAGCUCCGUGCCGCGAGAAUGUUGGGUUAAGUCACGAACGCAGCCCACCCUCGAUCUACUGUUGCCAGCAGCGAAGUGGGAACUCUAUAGAAAACUGACCGGGGCCAACUCGGGACGCAACGUUGUA
rnacentral:rRNA from 1 species